UUCUCAGGCUUUGACGUUGGUGAGGCUGUGUGAGUGAGUUGUUCUUCCUCUUAGGUCCAGGAAUGGGGGCCUUCCCUGCUUUAGAUCUGACUACUCCUCCCCCAGCAACCAUUACAAAUCAGCCUUGUCCAGAAAGACAAGCAGCACCAUCAAUGUUAUUGGAGGACAAACUGGUACCAUCAGCCGGGUAGAGGAACGGAGACGUCACAAUAUAGAAGGAAAUAACAUCCAGGUGCUUUCCGAGCCGUCUGAUGCUGAGCAUUCUGCCACUAAGAUGCCCUCCUUCUUCCCCCCCCACCUCUUUUCCCGCCUCCACCCUACAAUGUUAACUACGCCCCUCCCAUUCCUCCACCAUGCUACCCUCCUGGAGCACCCUCUCCCUCUCUGAUCC
rnacentral:lncRNA from 1 species